rnacentral:rRNA from 1 species
UACGUAGGGCGCGAGCGUUGUCCGGAAUUAUUGGGCGUAAAGAGCUCGUAGGCGGUCUGUUGCGUCCGCUGUGAAAACCCGGGGCUUAACCCCUGGCUUGCAGUGGAUACGGACAGACUAGAGGUAGGUAGGGGAGAAUGGAAUUCCCGGUGUAGCGGUGAAAUGCGCAGAUAUCGGGAGGAACACCGGUGGCGAAGGCGGUUCUCUGGGCCUUACCUGACGCUGAGGAGCGAAAGCGUGGGGAGCGAACAGG